rnacentral:rRNA from 2 species
CCCGAAAGAUCGAAUGGGGAGACUCAUCGUCAGCGGAGUUGGCUUCCGUGCGGAUCGCGAUGUUCUAAGACUUAUUUGUCGACGAGCACGCGUUCGCUGCGGUAUGUCCGGCUACGUCGGCGUGCACUUCUCCUCUAGUAGAACGUCGCGACCCGCUGGGUGUCGGUUUAAGGUCCAAGAUCGUCGACUGUUCCGUCGUUUCACGACGUACGGAUACAGACGCUUGGUUUCCCGACCGGCUGCUCGGCGGUACGCAAGCACGGUAUAGAGCCGCACUCGAAUGCGUUCAGGCCCGUUGCAAGCUCGACCAUAUCUCGAAUUCCCGGAGUGCGGACCUGGUGCCGUACCCGGGCGUGGUCAGCUGUUUGUUAACGGUGUUCUCGAACAGGCUAAAUUUGAAUUAACGAUACCGGUCGGCGACGCUUAUGCUUUGGGUACUUUCAGGACCCGUCUUGAAACACGGACCAAGGAGUCUAACAUGUAAGCGAGUCAUUGGGAUAACGAAACCUAAAGGCGUAUUGAAAGAAAAGAUCGACCCUGCGUCGAUCGAGGGAGGAUGGGCCUCGUUUAGAUGAGGCUCCGCACUCCCGGGGCGUCUCGUUCUCGUUACGAGUUGAGGCGCACCCAGAGCUUACACGUUGGGACCCGAAAGAUGGUGAACUAUGCCUGGUCAGGACGAAGUCAGGGGAAACCCUGAUGGAGGUCCGUAGCGAUUCUGACGUGCAAAUCGAUCGUCGGAACUGGG